AAACCAACAGGGAUUGCCUCAGUAACGGCGAGUGAAGCGGCAAAAGCUCAAAUUUGAAAUCCCUCGGGAGUUGUAAUUUGAAGGAGGUAGGCUACGCGCGGCAACGGCCCAAGUCCAUUGGAACAUGGCGCCAGGGAGGGUGAGAGCCCCGUCCGGCCACGCGCCGCGUCCGCAGUCUGCCCCCGACGAGUCGAGUUGUUUGGGAAUGCAGCUCAAAGUGGGUGGUAAAUUCCAUCUAAAGCUAAAUAUUGGCGAGAGACCGAUAGCGAACAAGUACAGUGAUGGAAAGAUGAAAAGCACUUUGAAAAGAGAGUGAAACAGUACGUGAAAUUGUUGAAAGGGAAGGGCUUGCAAGCAGACACGGCUUUUGCCGGGCCAGCAUCGGUUUGGGGAGGCGGACAACCGCGGGAGCAUGUGGCGCAUCUCGGUGCGUGUUAUAGCUCCCGUCCAUACGCCUUCCCCAGUCCGAGGCCUGCGUUCUAAACUAGGAUGCUGGCGUAAUGGUUGCAAGCCGC
rnacentral:rRNA from 1 species